GCCCGGUUAGCUCAAUCGGUAGAGCGUGAGACUCUUAUGAGUACACGAAAUCUCAAGGUUGCGGGUUCGACCCCCGCAUCGGGCU
rfam:Pochonia chlamydosporia 170 chromosome 6, whole genome shotgun sequence.